rnacentral:rRNA from 1 species
AUCGAACGCUGGCGGCAGGCCUAACACAUGCAAGUCGAGCGGAGAGGCGGACGGGUGAGUAAUGCCUAGGAAUCUGCCCGGUAGUGGGGGAUAACGUCCGGAAACGGGCGCUUAUACCACAUACUAUCAGAUGAGCCUCGGUUGGAUUCGCUAGUUGGUGGGGUAAAGGACUACCAAGGUGACGAGCCUUAACUGGCCUGAGAGGAUGAUCAGUCACACUGGAACUGAGACACGGUCCAGACUCCUACGGGAGGCAGCAGUGGGGAAUAUUGGACAAUGGGCGAAAGCCUGAUCCAGCCAUGCCGCGUGUGUGAAGAAGGUCUUCGGAUUGUAAAGCACUUUAAGUUGGGAGGCGUUACCUACAGAAUAAGCACCGGCUAACUUCGUGCCAGCAGCCGCGGUAAUUC